CCUUUCUUUCGCCAGGCCAGCCCCAAAAUCGCGAGGAGAAGUGCGUAGUCGCCGGUGUGCAAGGGACCGGCAUGGGGCCGCCACCGUGAAGUCUUGGUUCGGUGGUGCCUCUGCCCCAAUUUGAGUCUCCCAUGCAUCGCCGGUGAGAAUAGAAGCUGCCGGUGGGAAGAAUCGCGCGGGGGUGCUGUUGUGGGCUCGGGAAUUUCUCCCCGGAGUCUAGCCGCCACCGUAGAGCCGCGCCUGGCCGGGGCCAGGCUGAAUGCUGCUGCGAUCCACGGUGAGACAUCCUCCAACCAGUUCGUUUAUGCAUUCACUUACGUUUGUGCGCGAUAGGGCUCGGGUGGGGGAGAUCUGCGUCCGAUGAACCCGGAAUUCCACACCGGAGCCUGGACUCGUGGCCAAGCCGCAGUGUGCUGCAGCUAGCUCCCCUCUCCGCCCUCCAACGAUGGUAAGCACCUCCCUCUGGUUCGCAAACCUCCUCUCUUCGUUUAGCGUCGGUCGGAUCGAGAAUUCGAGCACUAGAACCUAGGAUAGAGGGAUCCGUUCAUGGGCGCCGCCGCGGCAGAUUUGUGCGUCGCCGUGUGAGUCGUUUGCCUCGGCCCUGUAGCGUGCGGAGGGUGGGAGAUGAUGUGUAAGCCGUAGAUCUUAGGAUGUGUGGCUUGGAUUGGCUCGCGUGGACUGUUUUGGCCAAACUGAUCUGGUUCGUCCGAUCCAAAUCAUGCGCGUGUGAAUCAACGUGAGCAACUUAAAAUCUGGGACGUCGAUCGUUGAUCCAAGGACUUGCAAGACGUGCCGAUCUGUUAAAAGACCAGUUUAAUCUUCGCCGUGAGUUUUAGAUCCGACGGCCAAGAUCUCUCGAUACCCCUUCGCGAUGGUCAUUUUUCUAAAGAGUCCUCGGGAAAUAAGAAAAUAGAACCCGCCGUCCCAUAUUGAUGUUCACUGUGUCUAGGAUAAGUUACCAGUGAGUCCCUGCAGUUUUCAGUAUUUGAUGCCCCAUCCAGAUAAUUAUAAAAUCAGGAAAAUGAAUUAGAAAAUGAGUUUUUAAUAUAAAAACAAUUCAUAGAAUUGGUAUAAUUCAUAGAAAAUGCAUAUAAACUCCAAAUUGGUCCAUUCCAGUUUCUCAAUUUUCAUAACAUUAUUAUCUAACCAUUAGUGCCUCUGUUUUAACAUGAAAGUCAAUUUAAAAUUUAUCUAUCACAUAAUCUUGUAUUAAGCACAUAAAACAUUAGAAAAUCCAUAACUUAAAAUAUAUAACUCCAAAUUUAAUGAUUCCAGUUCCUGUGAUCAUAUUUUAUUGUCUAGUUUAUUACUGUAUAUUAUAUUUGCAUGUUUGAUGUGAUGUUAAUUUUUGCUAUACUAUGUAUGUAUUGUGUUGAUGCGAGUAGACGAGCAGGCUACACAGGAUUCUGAGGUUCAGCUGGUAGAGAGAGCUGAGCAGGAGCUCGUUGAAGGCAAGUUGUGCCCUUGAUCACUUCUUUUACCCAUUCAUGUUCUUGUUAAUCAUAAUGAUCUGCAUAGGUUAAUUUUGCUGGGACCCAAUAGGUUACCCUAGAUUUGACUAUCUUUAUACCUUGUUUCACCACUGGUUUUACUACUAAAUUUUUGGGUAGUACAUGCUAUUGCUUUAUGUGGAUUUGGGUAUAAAGAUAUUUAUGACUCAUGAUUACACUUUCUAUUAUCUGUUCAUUAUUUUAUGUUCAUGAUAAGAUCAUUAUGUUAAUGGGAACAUGGAGAACCACCCGGGAAAACAGUGCUACCACAAGGGUUUAAUGGGACGCCCUUGGCUGAUUAACUAGGAAAGCUAGUGGAGGGCUGCCUUACCCGAAAGGGGCAAGGGCAGUAGGGGAGUGGUCAGUGUAGGGAGGUCCUUGGGUUGAUUUUGCUGCGAUGGCGGUCAGGCAAGAACCCUGCACUGGAGCUUCCUAUAAACUGUAGCGGGUAGUCUGAAGCUAGUGGAACUUUGUAAAGGCCUCGUAGUGGUACCCUGCCUCGCUUCCUAGGUAGAGGUGUAUGGAGUCUGAUCAACUCCGUGGCAAAUGGGUAACACGACUUGUGGGUAAAGAUGCGCAACCUCUGCAGAGUGUAAAACUGGUAUACUAGCCGUGCUCACGGUCAUGAGCGACUCGGACACUCACAUGAUUAAUUUAUGGAACUUAAACUUAAAUUGUCAUUUCAUUGCAUUUGGGAUUAUUUUAUUAUUACUUUUACUUAUUAUUACUAUGGUUUGGUAUUCACUUACACUUAGUAACUGCUAAUAAAAUUUUGACCAACUUAUAAAAGCAAUGCUCAGCUUCAGCCUUAUAUCAUUGAUCAGCCUUACACUUCAUGAACUCCCACCUUUGGUGAGUUCAUGCCACAUUAUUCCCCACAACUUGUUGAGCGAUGAACGUAUGUGAGCUCACUCUUGCUGUCUCACACCCCCCCACAGGAGAAGAACAGGUGGUUCAGGAGGAGCCACAAGGCGAGGAGUUUGAUCUGAUCUAGGUGGCGUUUCUCAGUUGACAUUGGCGCCGACGAUCCUUAGUUCGUUUUAUGUUUAUUCUUUUAUUUUGUAAUAAGUCUUCCGCUAUGUAAUAAAUACUCUGAUGUUUGAUGACAUUUAUCUCUAUACACUCUGUUAUUGUAUAUGUUGUCUUCUUGGCGCAUGUAUGAGAUGCACCCGGCUUUAUUCCUUAAAACCGGGUGUGAUAGAAGUGGUAUCAAAGGAAAUGUUGACUGUAGGACGAAACCUAGAUAGAAAUGGAUAAAACCCUUACCUACUUAUCUUAUUCUGAAUCCUUCUAAACUUACCUUACUCUGAUUCUCUCUAUACUUAUCUUGAUCCUGUCUCAUCUUCUACUGUUCUACUCUGAUCAUUCUUAUCUUCUCUAUUCUAAGACAAGUCGGAUUUCACACCUUGGAAUCCCUACCCCUGUGACAUUUUUGAGAGAUAGGAAGCCUAAGACGAAAAUAAAACUAUUUUCUCUAUUUUAAAAUGUUGGUUGAUUGUUCUGAUGAUCAAUGUCUGAUUUGCUUCUUUGAUUGAUUGAAAUAGUAUAGACGGGCAUCUUAGCAUGUACCACCAUAAGGUAAUGAAUUAGCUUUAGUAGGUGACACACUUAGCUAAUAAAUCCCCCAAAGUAACAUGCUUCGUAAUUACUCGCCUCGUCUACAAUCCUUUCUUUCGUACCCUAUGUUCCUAACCCAGAUGGGCUAUCCCUAUAGUGUUAGAAGAGAGCACUAUAGACGUGAUCCUUGGUACGUCAUGGUUAAGAAAGGCAAGGACAGUAUAUACACCGUGCUAAGGGAACCAUAGAACUCACCAAUUCCGAAGGACAAAGAUUUGAAGUUGGAAUUGCAGUAACUACCGCCACCAGACUAGCGACAUUCUUAGUAGAUGGGAAGUUUGUUGGUGAUAACAUCCGUAUGGUUAAGGAUUUUCCGGAUGUCUUUCCAGAGGAGUUACUAGGGAUGCCACCAGAUACGGAAGUUGAGUUUGUCAUAGAUCUCUUACCUGGAAUUGCUCCUAUUUCUAAAUGGACACAUAAAAUGUCUGUAGAAGAACUAAAGGAACUUAAGAAGCAAUUAAUGGAAUUACAAGAGGCUGGGUAUAUUCGUUUGAGUUCCUCACCGUGGGGAGCACCGGUUCUGUUUGUACAAAAGAAGGAUGGAUCACAAAGAAUGUGUGUGGACUAUAGAUCACUUAAUGAUGUUACUGUGAAGAACAAGUAUCCGUUACCCCGUAUUGAGGAUUUAUUUGAUCAGAUGCGAGGUGCUAGAGUAUUCUCAAAGAUUGAUCUCCGAUCGGGAUACCAUCAUAUGAGGAUUAGACCAUCAGAUAUUCCCAAGACAGCAUUCUCGACUCGAUAUGGAUUAUAUGAGUUUACAGUUAUGUCGUUUAGAUUAACCAAUGCCCCAGCUUAUUUUAUGAACUUGAUGAAUAAGGUGUUUAUGGAGUAUUUGGACAGAUUCGUCGUGGUGUUCAUCGACGAUAUUCUUAUCUAUUCUAGGAGUGAAAGCGAUCAUGAACAACAUCUAAGGUUGGUGCUACAGAAGCUACGAGAUAAUCAACUCUACGCUAAGUUCAGUAAGUGCGAGUUUUGGAUUGACAAAGUGCCAUUCCUUGGUCAUAUUAUUUCUAAUGGAGGAAUAGCAGUGGAUCCUGCUAAAGUGAAGGAGAUAAUAGAGUGGAGAGUGCCCACUACAGUUACUGAGAUUCGGAGUUUCUUAGGGCUUGCAGGAUAUUAUCGGAGAUUUAUUGAAGGAUUUUCUAAGAUUGCCAAGCCUAUGACCUCACUUUUGGAGAAAGGAAGAGAAUUCAAGUGGGAUGAGAAAUGCCAAGAGAGCUUUGAUCAAUUGAAGGAGAGAUUGAUGUCACCACCAGUGUUGGUUAUGCCAGACUUACAGAAAGGAUUUGAUAUAUAUUGUGAUGCAUGUGGCCAAGGCUUAGGAUGUGUGCUUAUGCAAGAAGGACAUGUGAUUGCCUAUGCAUCUCGUCAGUUGCGGAAGCAUGAACUGAACUACCCCACUCAUGACUUGGAACUAGCAGCAGUUGUGCAUGCACUUAAGAUUUGGAGACAUUACAUUAUGGGAACUAAGUGUCAAGUGUACACGGAUCACAAGAGUUUGAAGUAUAUAUUCACUCAGAAGGAUCUCAACCUUAGGCAACGUCGUUGGUUGGAGCUUAUUGAGGAUUAUGAUUUGGAAAUUCACUAUCACCCGGGCAAGGCAAAUUUGGUUACAGAUGCCUUGAGUCGAAAGGAGCAUGUUCGUUCAGCUGUUGUUGCCCAGCUACCCGAUGAGAUUGUUGAGGAUUUCAGGAGACUUAACCUGGGAAUUGUUACACACACUGAAGGAGUUACCAUCGAGUUGGAACCUACCUUGGAACAAGAAAUCCGCAAUGGACAAAUUCGUGAUGCUAAAAUACAAGAGAGUAAGGAUCUGAUUACUGAGGGAUAAGACCCGAAUUUCAUAGAGGAUGAGCAGGGCACGCUAUGGUUCAAGAAUCGGAUUUGUGUUCCUGAACUGAUAGUCUUUGUGAAACCAUAUUGAAGGAGGCCCAUGACUUGGAUUAUUCUAUUCAUCCUGUUAGUACCAAGAUGUAUCAGGAUUUGAAGCAGAAGUUCUGGUGGUAUGGACUGAAGAGAGAUGUAGCUGCACAUGUGGCUAUUUGCAAUGUGUGUUAAAGAGUUAAGGCUGAACACCAGAGGCCAGCUGGACUACUGCAUCCACUGAAGAUACUCGAAUGGAAGUAGGAAAAGAUUGGUAUGGACUUCAUUACUGGAUUGCCUCGCACCUCGAAAGGAUACGAUUCUAUAUGGGUUAUUGUGGAUAGACAGACCCAGUGUGGCUCAUUUCAUUUCGGUCAAGACUACUUAUAAGGUAUCUCAAUUGGUAGAGUUAUAUAUGGCUCGGAUUAUGUCUCUACACGGUGUACCGAAGAAGGUCGUUUCAGAUAGAGGAUCACAGUCUACCUCCAGAUUUUGGAAAAGUUUUCAUGAGAAUAUGGAUGCGAAGUUGAGUUUAGUUUGGCUUACCUCAGACUGAUGGACAGACUAAAGGGACUAAUCAAGUAUUGGAGGACAUGUUGAGAGCUUGUGCCCUUCAGCAUGGUAGUAGUUGGGAAAAGAGUCUACCUUAUGCUGAGUUUUCAUAUAAUAAUAGUUACCAGACUAGUCUGAAGAUGUCACUGUUCGAGACUUUAUAUGGCAGGAAAUGCAGGAUUCCUCUACAUUGAAUCAGACUAGAGGAAGACAGUUCUUUGGACCUAAACUUAUUCAAGAGGCAGAAGAACAAGUUUGUAUAAUUCGAGAGAAUUUGAGGGUAGCUCAAACCAGGCAAAAGAGCUAUGCUGAUAAUAGAAGAAGACCACUGGAAUUUGAGGAUUGAGGUUAUGUGUACCUCAAGGUGUCACCACUUCGUGGAAUGAGGAGAUUCAAGGUUAAGGGCAAAUUGUCCCCUCACUUUAUUGGACCAUUCUGAGUUUUUAGUUGAGUUGGAGAGAUGGCCUAUCAACUCGAGCUACCUAAUAGUCUAUCAGAUGUGCAUAAUGUGUUCCAUGUAUCUCAACUUAAGAAAUGUCUCUGUAUACCUGAGGAACAAUUACCAAUGGAUGAGCUCGGUGUUGAGGGUGAUUUGACCUACAUGGAGUAUCUCGUCGAGAUUCUUGAUGUUUUGACUCGAGUUACAAGAAAUAAGGUAAUAAAGAUGUGAAAGGUGCAAUGGAGCCAUCAUGAAGAAGAUGAAGCUACGUGGGAAAGAGAAGAAGAGCUUCGUAUAGAUUUUCCCCAUCUUUUCCCUAGAUCUUCCUAAAUCUCGAGGACGAGAUUAUUUUUAAGGGGGGGUAGGAUUUGUAAUACCCACUUGGUAAGAAAGAUCUAAAAGAGGAAUUAUAUCACCCUAUCUCUAUAUGUACUACCAAUGUGUAUCAUUUCAUGUGGACACAUUACUUACACAAAUAAAUAAGUAACAAAAGACACUCAAUUAAAUCAUGCAUCAUGUUGGAUUUCAUGUUGUGUGCAUUUUGUGACAACAAUGUAAAAAAAAAUAUGUUAAUACCCAAAUUAGAAUUUAAAUCCUAAAGGAAAAUUCUAGAAUUGAAACAAGAGAAGAAAAUGCUUACAUAUAAGAACAAACAAAUGUAAAAUAAUCCAACCAGGUUCCUAUUGGUAUUUGAAAUUAUACAGUGGAUUUAAGUAUGAACUUCACAUUUAUAAAUUCAAAUUUGGGAUUUAAUUUCGAAUUUAAAAGAGAAAAGAAAAGGGAAAAGUAAAAAUAUAAAAGAGAAAAUGAAUAGAACCCCUAACUGGGCCUCAGCACCCCAUUUCGGCCCACCAAGAAAUAUUACCGUGCAGCCCACUCCACUUCCGCUGCGCUGUUACUGUCGCUGACAUGGCGGGCCCCGAUUGUCAGCCUCGUCUCCACACUGCACCAGCCGAAUGCCCACCACACGCGCCUCCUGCGUCCAGCGUUGGAUGUGUCGCUGUUUGACUGGGCCACUUCCCGGGUCAACUCCUCUCUCGUGCCGUUCUCUUACACGUGGGACCCAUCUAGCCAGCCCCUUAGUCCGCGUGCCACGCUCCUUCUCUCCGCGGAAGACCCGUGCCUGGCUGGUGGACCCCGGCGCUCGGAUCCGUCUUCUUCGCGUCACCAGCCGCGCGGACUUGGCAAACGCCACGCUGGAACCUCGCCGCGCAUCUCGGAGGCCCAACCGAAUCCCAGUCGCGCGGCCAAGUCUCCUUCCCCACGUGCGCUACCCCUUGAAGUACGGCGCCGCUCGACCAACCAUGACUCCCUUUCUUUCGCCAGGCCAGCCCCAAAAUCGCGAGGAGAAGUGCGUAGUCGCCGGUGUGCAAGGGACCGGCAUGGGGCCGCCACCGUGAAGUCUUGGUUCGGUGGUGCCUCUGCCCCAAUUUGAGUCUCCCAUGCAUCGCCGGUGAGAAUAGAAGCUGCCGGUGGGAAGAAUCGCGCGGGGGUGCUGUUGUGGGCUCGGGAAUUUCUCCCCGGAGUCUAGCCGCCACCGUAGAGCCGCGCCUGGCCGGGGCCAGGCUGAAUGCUGCUGCGAUCCACGGUGAGACAUCCUCCAACCAGUUCGUUUAUGCAUUCACUUACGUUUGUGCGCGAUAGGGCUCGGGUGGGGGAGAUCUGCGUCCGAUGAACCCGGAAUUCCACACCGGAGCCUGGACUCGUGGCCAAGCCGCAGUGUGCUGCAGCUAGCUCCCCUCUCCGCCCUCCAACGAUGGUAAGCACCUCCCUCUGGUUCGCAAACCUCCUCUCUUCGUUUAGCGUCGGUCGGAUCGAGAAUUCGAGCACUAGAACCUAGGAUAGAGGGAUCCGUUCAUGGGCGCCGCCGCGGCAGAUUUGUGCGUCGCCGUGUGAGUCGUUUGCCUCGGCCCUGUAGCGUGCGGAGGGUGGGAGAUGAUGUGUAAGCCGUAGAUCUUAGGAUGUGUGGCUUGGAUUGGCUCGCGUGGACUGUUUUGGCCAAACUGAUCUGGUUCGUCCGAUCCAAAUCAUGCGCGUGUGAAUCAACGUGAGCAACUUAAAAUCUGGGACGUCGAUCGUUGAUCCAAGGACUUGCAAGACGUGCCGAUCUGUUAAAAGACCAGUUUAAUCUUCGCCGUGAGUUUUAGAUCCGACGGCCAAGAUCUCUCGAUACCCCUUCGCGAUGGUCAUUUUUCUAAAGAGUCCUCGGGAAAUAAGAAAAUAGAACCCGCCGUCCCAUAUUGAUGUUCACUGUGUCUAGGAUAAGUUACCAGUGAGUCCCUGCAGUUUUCAGUAUUUGAUGCCCCAUCCAGAUAAUUAUAAAAUCAGGAAAAUGAAUUAGAAAAUGAGUUUUUAAUAUAAAAACAAUUCAUAGAAUUGGUAUAAUUCAUAGAAAAUGCAUAUAAACUCCAAAUUGGUCCAUUCCAGUUUCUCAAUUUUCAUAACAUUAUUAUCUAACCAUUAGUGCCUCUGUUUUAACAUGAAAGUCAAUUUAAAAUUUAUCUAUCACAUAAUCUUGUAUUAAGCACAUAAAACAUUAGAAAAUCCAUAACUUAAAAUAUAUAACUCCAAAUUUAAUGAUUCCAGUUCCUGUGAUCAUAUUUUAUUGUCUAGUUUAUUACUGUAUAUUAUAUUUGCAUGUUUGAUGUGAUGUUAAUUUUUGCUAUACUAUGUAUGUAUUGUGUUGAUGCGAGUAGACGAGCAGGCUACACAGGAUUCUGAGGUUCAGCUGGUAGAGAGAGCUGAGCAGGAGCUCGUUGAAGGCAAGUUGUGCCCUUGAUCACUUCUUUUACCCAUUCAUGUUCUUGUUAAUCAUAAUGAUCUGCAUAGGUUAAUUUUGCUGGGACCCAAUAGGUUACCCUAGAUUUGACUAUCUUUAUACCUUGUUUCACCACUGGUUUUACUACUAAAUUUUUGGGUAGUACAUGCUAUUGCUUUAUGUGGAUUUGGGUAUAAAGAUAUUUAUGACUCAUGAUUACACUUUCUAUUAUCUGUUCAUUAUUUUAUGUUCAUGAUAAGAUCAUUAUGUUAAUGGGAACAUGGAGAACCACCCGGGAAAACAGUGCUACCACAAGGGUUUAAUGGGACGCCCUUGGCUGAUUAACUAGGAAAGCUAGUGGAGGGCUGCCUUACCCGAAAGGGGCAAGGGCAGUAGGGGAGUGGUCAGUGUAGGGAGGUCCUUGGGUUGAUUUUGCUGCGAUGGCGGUCAGGCAAGAACCCUGCACUGGAGCUUCCUAUAAACUGUAGCGGGUAGUCUGAAGCUAGUGGAACUUUAUAAAGGCCUCGUAGUGGUACCCUGCCUCGCUUCCUAGGUAGAGGUGUAUGGAGUCUGAUCAACUCCGUGGCAAAUGGGUAACACGACUUGUGGGUAAAGAUGCGCAACCUCUGCAGAGUGUAAAACUGGUAUACUAGCCGUGCUCACGGUCAUGAGCGACUCGGACACUCACAUGAUUAAUUUAUGGAACUUAAACUUAAAUUGUCAUUUCAUUGCAUUUGGGAUUAUUUUAUUAUUACUUUUACUUAUUAUUACUAUGGUUUGGUAUUCACUUACACUUAGUAACUGCUAAUAAAAUUUUGACCAACUUAUAAAAGCAAUGCUCAGCUUCAGCCUUAUAUCAUUGAUCAGCCUUACACUUCAUGAACUCCCACCUUUGGUGAGUUCAUGCCACAUUAUUCCCCACAACUUGUUGAGCGAUGAACGUAUGUGAGCUCACUCUUGCUGUCUCACACCCCCCACAGGAGAAGAACAGGUGGUUCAGGAGGAGCCACAAGGCGAGGAGUUUGAUCUGAUCUAGGUGGCGUUUCUCAGUUGACAUUGGCGCCGACGAUCCUUAGUUCGUUUUAUGUUUAUUCUUUUAUUUUGUAAUAAGUCUUCCGCUAUGUAAUAAAUACUCUGAUGUUUGAUGACAUUUAUCUCUAUACACUCUGUUAUUGUAUAUGUUGUCUUCUUGGCGCAUGUAUGAGAUGCACCCGGCUUUAUUCCUUAAAACCGGGUGUGACAGGCCCCUCCUGGGUCGCUCUUCUGCUUCUAGUCGGAUGGAUCAAAAGAACCG
rnacentral:lncRNA from 1 species